ACUGCUAUCGAGGUGGGACUAAGCCAUGCUAGUCGAACGACCCGGACUAUGGCGGGGAGUGGCAGACUGCUCAGUAACACGUAGCUAACUUACCCUCUGGAUGGGGAUACCCCCGGGAAACUGGGGACAAUACCCAAUAGGUGUGGAUUCCUGGAAUGGUUCCACGCUCAAAUAUUGCAUACCCACGUCGUAUGUUCAUGCCAGAGGAUAGGGCUGCGGCCGAUCAGGCAGUUGGUGGGGUAAUGGCCCACCAAACCUUUGACCGGUACGGGCCGUGAGAGCGGUAGCCCGGAGAUGGGUACUGAGACAAGGACCCAGGCCCUACGGGGCGCAGCAGGCGCGAAACCUCCACAAUGCACGAAAGUGCGAUGGGGUUACCUCGAGUGCCGCCUGAAGAAGGCGGCUUUUCCAUGGUGUAAUGAGCCGUGGGAAUAAGGGGGGGGCAAGACUGGUGUCAGCCGCCGCGGUAACACCAGCUCCCCGAGUGGUGGGGAUGUUUAUUUGGCCUAAAACGUCCGUAGCCGGCUAAGUAAAUCUCUCGUUAAAUCCAGCGUCCUAAGCGUUGGGCUGCGAGGGAGACUGCUCAGCUAGAGGGUGGAAAAGGUCAGCGGUAUUUCUGGGGUAGGGGCGAAAUCCAUUGAUCCCAGGAGGACCACCAGUGGCGAAGGCUGCUGACUAGGACACGCCUGACGGUGAGGGACGAAAGCUGGGGUAGCGAAUCGGAUUAGAUACCCGAGUAGUCCCAGCCGUAAACGAUGCAAGCUAGGUGUUGGGCUGGCCACGUGCCAGCUCAGUGCCACAGGGAAGCCAUUAAGCUUGCUGCCUGGGGAGUACGGCCGCAAGGCUGAAACUUAAAGGAAUUGGCGGGGGAGCACCACCAGGCGUGAAG
rnacentral:rRNA from 1 species